rnacentral:lncRNA from 1 species
UUCAGGUCGUAUUUUAGUAAGACAGUGCCGGGUGUACCUAUAUACAAGUCAACAUUCAGAUAUCACUUAUUCACGUGCAAUCUUGAGGAGAAAAUGGACAAAAUGACGGAAUAUUUCAAUAAAUAUAUCGAAAAAAAUCUUCUGUAUGUUCAGCAUUAAACAAGUGGGCCACCAUCCACUGAAUAUUUGUGCACUAUUUCAAAUAAAUAUUCAAAUGUAUGCAAACAUGGCGGACAACACCAAUAACACUACCUCCGUCGCAUCCACCAAUAAUUCAUGGACCAACACCUCGAUUAUACAAA